rnacentral:misc_RNA from 1 species
CUAAGGAGCAUAUGUCACGCACUCAUCGACUGUAUGAGUGGUGGCGCUCAUGGGUGGAAUCAUAAACAAGAAAAACUUCGUUACUUUAGUUCUUUUGUGAGUACCUGGUGUUCCUUUGGGAUGCUGGCGGAAAGCUGGGGGUUAAGGGGGCGGGGUUUGCAAACACACUAUUGGGUUAUGAAACAACAAUGGCUAGUACGUGUACUAGUGGUUGGUUGUUUUGUAUGCCAGGUCAUGACCGGUUGCCCUUAGACCACGCGAACAUGCUUUUGGGUUUGUUUGUGUGUGGGGCGGUUUGGUGGUGGGUUUGGUCGUUGUUUGAGAACUGGAUAGUGGACGCGAGCAUCUUUAUUAAAAGUUUUUGGUCCGCACAUAAUUUUCUUUGUUCCCCAUGAUGUGGGGGAUGAGGUUUUAUGGUGCGGUUUUCUUAACUGUUGAUUGAGUAAAGUUUUUUGUGUGUGUUUGUGU